rnacentral:rRNA from 1 species
GACGAACGCUGGCGGCGUGCCUAAUACAUGCAAGUAGGACGCAGUUGCGAACGGGUGAGUAACGCGUAGGUAACUACCUAUUAGAGGGGGAGAACUAUUGGAAACGAUAGCUAAUACCGCAUACUAGUAGAUGGACCUGCGUUGUAUUAGCUAGUAGGUAGGGUAAAGGCCUACCUAGGCAACGAUACCUACCCGACCGUGUAGGGGGAUCGGCAACACAGGGACGGGUACACGGCCCAGACUCCUACGGGAGGCAGCAGUAGGGAAUCUUCGGCAAUGGGGGGAAACCUGACCGAGCAACGCCGCGUGAGUUAAGAAGGUUUUCGGAUCGUAAAGCUCUGUUGUUAAGGAAGCGGUACUUAACCAGAAAGGGACGGCUAACUACGUGCCAGCAGCCGCGGUAAUUC